rnacentral:rRNA from 1 species
CACGUAGGGUGCGAGCGUUGUCCGGAAUCACUAGGCGUAAAGGGCGCGUAGGCGGCCUGAUAAGUAGGGGGUGAAAUCCUGCGGCUUAACCGCAGGGCUGCCUUCUAAACUGUCGGGCUCGAGCACAGUAGAGGCAGGUGGAAUUCCCGGUGUAGCGGUGGAAUGCGUAGAGAUCGGGAAGAACAUCAGUGGCGAAGGCGGCCUGCUGGGCUGUUGCUGACGCUGAGGCGCGACAGCGUGGGGAGCAAACAGG